rnacentral:rRNA from 1 species
CGAGCGAACAGAUGAGGAGCUUGCUCCUCUGACGUUAGCGGCGGACGGGUGAGUAACACGUGGAUAACCUACCUAUAAGACUGGGAUAACUUCGGGAAACCGGAGCUAAUACCGGAUAAUAUAUUGAACCGCAUGGUUCAAUAGUGAAAGACGGUUUUGCUGUCACUUAUAGAUGGAUCCGCGCCGCAUUAGCUAGUUGGUAAGGUAACGGCUUACCAAGGCAGCGAUGCGUAGCCGACCUGAGAGGGUGAUCGGCCACACUGGAACUGAGACACGGUCCAGACUCCUACGGGAGGCAGCAGUAGGGAAUCUUCCGCAAUGGGCGAAAGCCUGACGGAGCAACGCCGCGUGAGUGAUGAAGGUCUUCGGAUCGUAAAACUCUGUUAUUAGGGAAGAACAAAUGUGUAAGUAACUAUGCACGUCUUGACGGUACCUAAUCAGAAAGCCACGGCUAACUACGUGCCAGCAGCCGCGGUAAUACGUAGGUGGCAAGCGUUAUCCGGAAUUAUUGGGCGUAAAGCGCGCGUAGGCGGUUUUUUAAGUCUGAUGUGAAAGCCCACGGCUCAACCGUGGAGGGUCAUUGGAAACUGGAAAACUUGAGUGUAGAAGAGGAAAGUGGAAUUCCAUGUGUAGCGGUGAAAUGCGCAGAGAUAUGGAGGAACACCAGUGGCGAAGGCGACUUUCUGGUCUGUAACUGACGCUGAUGUGCGAAAGCGUGGGGAUCAAACAGGAUUAGAUACCUGGUAGUCCACGCCGUAAACGAUGAGUGCUAAGUGUUAGGGGGUUUCCGCCCCUUAGUGCUGCAGCUAACGCAUUAAGCACUCCGCCUGGGGAUACGACCGC